UUCGUCUACAACUUGAAGCAGAUUCCUUUACAGCCUGGGAGGCUCCGCUAUGGUCAAAAUUGGCUUCGACCUAAACAAGUCAUCGAUUUCAAGACGCCUCCGGAGCAUUGGCGCGAUAGCGGCUGGGAUUGUGGGGUUAUGGAGUUGAAGAGCAUCAGGUAGAGAUGGCGGCGCCGCCGCUACGGAAUACGAGCACGAUCCAACGGCUGCACCUCGCCCUGCGCCUUCUGCCGCCGGCAAUGCACGCCGCCCCCGGCCACGCGCCCCUCGCAUCCCCCUCGGCCACGCGCCCCCGCCACUUCACCCAGCUCCACCCCCGACCAGUCGUGCCACCAACGGCGCGAUGUUGUCCUUAUCAUCAUCGUCACACUCGAGGAAAGCUAAUGCUUGAAGGAGAGGGAACAACAAGGAAAUUUGGGACUGGCGGAGAGGACACCGAUGUCGUGAAAGUGUCCAGCCCGGACACCCUGCAUGUUCUACAAGACGCUCAUUGCUUCUGACACCAGCAUGCAGGGGGGCUUCUCUCUUCUGCUACAUGGCGCUGGAGACCAAGAGAUUUUGUUACCUCUAGGUGACUUGGUAGUGGCUUUUUUGGUUGGCCUGUGAAGGAUUACGACCUGCAGAGGCCGUCCCAAGAGUUCCUGAGCUCGUGGCCAAUAAUGAUAUGCAUGGCACCAAAUGGAGGUUCUGACAUAUAGCUCAUGUUCAGUUUAUUUGUUUGGCUGCAGGUCCACAUAUAGUUCUUCGUCAGAUAUAUGUAGGAGUUAUGCAAUGCUGCGAUAUAACAUGCGAAUGGAAGGCAUGAGAGAUGAUUUAUAUUUAUACAUAACCAAUCAACGAAGGAAGAUUGUUGGUCAGGUUUUGCUAUCGCCCAUGACUCUGUAUGGUAGACAUUUGCUCUCUGCUCCUUAUAAGAGGCAAUCAGCAGCACAUAUUCUUGAUUACUAGACCAACAAAGAAUGGUGUUGAAAAAUUCAUAGCAUUAGAGAAAACUGAAUACAUUUAUAAGUUUUUAAUAAUACAUAUUACAAAAUGUACCUUUUUGAAAUUGAACUAUUAUAUAUUUCAGUAUUAUAUACAAACUAUAAGUAUUCGUGGGUAUAGGGAAUAUUUAUCUUAAGACUGUAUAAAAAUUAUUUAUCCAACAAUAGAUUUGAUUAUACUGAUAACUUUCAGCUUGCAUAGGGACCACUUGUGGUACAAAUCACGUAUGCCCCUUUGGCCCUUUUUGUUAUCCUUACACCUUUAUGCACCAAGCUUGAUGAUAAAUUCUUAGACUAUAGAAAAUCUUUCUUGCAUAUUCAAAACUAAUAUGCAAAGACACGUACCAGGUAAGGUGACCGAAGACUAUUGCUUCCAUUUAUUCGAUGGUGUUCAUGUAGCGCAUUGCUAUCUGAGGUGCCAUUUCCUGCAGCCACGGGUUGGAACUGAGAGGUUGAGAUAAUAGGUGGAGGAAGAAAAAGAAUUAUUUUAACGGUAAAAAAACCGCCAAUGCUAUCUAGGAUCAUAAAGAUUUGUAAAGAAAAAAAACACGAAGCAGGGGCUCGCCCCCUCCCCAUCUCGCUCAUGAAGCCGCCGCGACCACCCACGUCGACCGCUUCUCCGACGCCACGCAACACGCCUCCGAGCUCCCCAUGGUCCGCGCCUCCCUCCCCCCCGGCCAGAUUCUCCGCUCCCGGCCUCUAUCGCCCGCUCACAACCCUACCCCCGUGGCUAGGGUUUCGGGCAGGCCUUCGCCGGCGCGUCUCUGGCGGCCCCAGGUUCGUCCCUCCUUCCUUCUUGGCCGGGAUCCACCCCCCCUACACCUCACCUGAUGAGGACAUCAAUACAAUUGUUACACCCACAGCCCCUGCUGCUAUACAUACUGGACCAAUUACUAGAGCUCGUGCACGCCAACUAAAUUACCAGGUACUUU